rnacentral:rRNA from 1 species
AAACUUUCAACAACGGAUCUCUUGGUUCCCGCAUCGAUGAAGAACGCAGCGAAACGCGAUAGUUAAUGUGAAUUGCAGAAUUCAGUGAAUCAUCGAGUCUUUGAACGCACAUUGCGCCCGUUGGCAUUCCGACGGGCACGUCUGUCUGAGCGUCAUG